UACGUAGGGGGCGAGCGUUGUCCGGAUUUAUUGGGCGUAAAGAGCGUGUAGGCGGCCAGGUAGGUCUGCUGUGAAAACUCGAGGCUCAACCUCGAGACGUCGGCGGAAACCAUCUGGCUAGAGUCCGGAAGAGGAGAGUGGAAUUCCUGGUGUAGCGGUGAAAUGCGCAGAUAUCAGGAAGAACACCCGUGGCGAAGGCGGCUCUCUGGGACGGUACUGACGCUGAGGAGCGAAAGCGUGGGGAGUGAACAGG
rnacentral:rRNA from 1 species